CCGUCAUUUCUUGAUCGAUCAGGCUUGAAAGAAAAGGGGAUACGGGAGCAAUGAAAUCAGAUAGCGAGAAGGAAGCGUGAAGCGGCUUCGAGGCCAGAUGGUGGUCGUCAUCUCGCGAAGGGAACUGAGUGCCUCCGGGGUUGGCCAGGCCGAAGAUUGAGAUGGGUGAAGAAGCGAGGCGACUAUGAUCCUUGGACGAUAAGGAAGAGACGAAGCAGCAGGGCUGGUCGUCUUCUGUCUUGGAAGUAGUAGCGAAGGGGAAAGAGGUCCGAAAGGGUCUGGGAGGCUUCGCAACCAGCAGCAGCGAUGGUGACCGGGUGUUCGGUGGGUUUGCUAGACGUGAGGGGAAGAGGAGGGUGCGAGCGGUGGGACGCUGAGCGACGACAGUUCCCGUAAGCGAUUCGGUGGCAGUUGCUUUCUUCAUUCUUGAUGUUUGCAGGUGCGUGGACGGGGGCUGCUCCGGCAGCUCCCCUGUUAUUUUUUUUUUCGUCUUUGGCAACAGGAGAUCAAAAAGAACAAUGAUUAAAGGAGGUUCGGUGGUGCUGGUGGAUUGCUGCUUCUUCUUCUCCGGUGAACUAUGCCAACAGGAGAAAAAUAAAUGGUGUUGCUGCCCUUCUUGCUGACUGGAAAACGUAUGAACAAACAGUUCUUCGCUGGAACUCGAAACAGGAAGAGGAAAGGGAGAAAGUAUUUUGAGUGUAAUUGUUUGGUUUUGUUUUUUGUUUGUUUGUAUGUUUGCUUUUUUUUUUUUAGUCUUGAAACUGUUUGAUUUGAUCUUGGUUGAGUCUGAGUAUAGAAUUGUCUUUGUGUUUGAGUGUUCUCCAAGGUUAGUGUGCACAUAAUAUGUUCCUUUUCUUUUGUGUGUGUGUGUAGGAAAGGGACUUUCUACACAAUUAGAUUUUUGCAAUUGUAUAUGAAAUCUUUUAUUUGAUUUUAUUGUGAUUUUUGGUGUCAAAUUUAGGAUUUGAUUUUUGUGAGUGUAGGGAUAUUUGUUAAUCUAUAAUGAUAUUAUCAGAUUUUGGAAAGAAAA